UCUCCGUAGGUGAACCUGCGGAGGGAUCAUUACCAGAGAUGGCGGGCUCCGGCCCCCGUCCCCCAACCCUUUGUUGAUAAAACCCUUUUGCCUCGGGGGCAGAGCGUCCGCCGCCGCCCCAAAGGACCACCGAACGCUGUCUCUUUACGUCGGAGUAUUGAUUAAAUGAAUGAAAACUUUCAACAACGGAUCUCUUGGUUCUG
rnacentral:misc_RNA from 1 species